AGCUCUGGUUUCGAGAAGAGACGACCUGCCACACCUGAACUGAAACCGCUCCAAUCCUACGAGCAGCAUGGGGAUUUGACAUGGGGCACUGAUCAGCAUCGCGUGAGUGAGAGCUUCGGUGUAAAGCUCUUCGCAGACGAAAAGGCUCUCUCUAACAAUAGGGAGUCAAUGACGGUACUGAAGAAGAAGCACCGGCUAACUACGUGCCAGCAGCCGCGGUAAUACGUAGGGUGCGAGCGUUAAUCGGAAUUACUGGGCGUAAAGCGUGCGCAGGCGGUUUUGUAAGACAGAUGUGAAAUCCCCGGGCUUAACCUGGGAACUGCGUUUGUGACUGCAAGACUUGAGUGCAGCAGAAGGGGGUGGAAUUCCACGUGUAGCAGUGAAAUGCGUAGAGAUGUGGAAGAACACCGAUGGCGAAGGCAGCCCCCUGGGUUGACACUGACGCUCAUGCACGAAAGCGUGGGUAGCAAACAGGAUUAGAUACCCUGGUAGUCCACGCCCUAAACGAUGCGAACUAGGUGUUGGAGAAGGAGACUUCUUUAGUACCGCAGCUAACGCGUGAAGUUCGCCGCCUGGGGAGUACGGUCGCAAGAUUAAAACUCAAAGGAAUUGACGGGGACCCGCACAAGCGGUGGAUGAUGUGGAUUAAUUCGAUGCAACGCGAAAAACCUUACCUACCCUUGACAUGCCUGGAAUCCUGCUGAGAGGUGGGAGUGCCCGAAAGGGAACCGGGACACAGGUGCUGCAUGGCUGUCGUCAGCUCGUGUCGUGAGAUGUUGGGUUAAGUCCCGCAACGAGCGCAACCCUUGUCAUUAGUUGCCAUCAUUUAGUUGGGCACUCUAAUGAGACUGCCGGUGACAAACCGGAGGAAGGUGGGGAUGACGUCAAGUCCUCAUGGCCCUUAUGGGUAGGGCUUCACACGUCAUACAAUGGUCGGUACAGAGGGCUGCCAACCCGCGAGGGGGAGCCAAUCCCAGAAAGCCGAUCGUAGUCCGGAUUGGAGUCUGCAACUCGACUCCAUGAAGUCGGAAUCGCUAGUAAUCGUGGAUCAGCAUGUCACGGUGAAUACGUUCCCGGGUCUUGUACACACCGCCCGUCACACCAUGGGAGUGGGUUUCACCAGAAGUAGGUAGCCUAACCGCAAGGAGGGCGCUUACCACGGUGGGAUUCAUGACUGGGGUGAAGUCGUAACAAGGUAGCCG
rnacentral:rRNA from 1 species